UCUGCAGAUGCAAGGCUACAGGUUCUGGGGUCAAGCUGGAGAGAUCUGAAGUGGAGGAGGACCUACGGCACAGCAGAGACAUCCAGACUGGAAAGGCUGGAGCGACCCCUGUAGCCACAGAGGGACCCACCACCACCCCAGUGCAGCCCAGAACCCGACGGAGCAUGACGGAGGUCAGUGGAUCGCCGUCCUCAAGUCAGAGACAGACACACAAGGCUUUAACUGUAACACACAGGCUUUUACACAGGAUCUGACCACAGAUCAGACCCAGAAAGACUGGGUCUGGGGAGACUAGGCUGUCCUCCUGGUAUAUCACCAGAGCCAGAGGACGGUCCAUAACCAUGGUGAUGGUGACACGUUAGAUGAUCUGUCUUGUUCUUACGCCACAGAGAUGGACCCUGGCAACAUGCCCUUGGGUUUAGAGACACAGACUGAUCUGUCUAGAGGGGACUGGAACCGGUACAGUAGUAGUGUAUACUCUGAAGGGUGCCUAGCUAAGAAAGGGGAGGGCUGUACCCAGUGUCACAUGUGCUUCGUUGAAGCUGGCACCCUGAAGAAGCACAGGGAAGAAACGCUACAGCUGCCCCCCACUGUGAGAAGUGGUUCUGCCACCAGCUAUCACGCCUGCUCCCACUCCCUCUCUCUGGUGCUUGAGGGCGCCAGGAGGCCAUCAUUACGCACACCUGUCACCAUCGUAACGCACACCAGCGCUUCUUUGGACUCACCUGGACUCCAUUACUUUGUUGAUUGCCCCUCAUAUCUGUCUGUUCCUCGGGUUUGAUCCCCGUGUCAGAAUUAUUGUCGUUAUGUUUCCCUUGUCCAGAUGCUGUCCUUGUUUGUUUCAUUUCAUUUUUUUUAUUAAAUGUUCACUCCCUGUACUUGCUUCUCGUCUCCCAGCGUCUGUCCUUACAGAAUGCUGACCCCAAUAUUGGAAGCAUCAGGGAGUUUUGUUUUUUUGUUUUGGUUGGUGACGUCGGGUCCGGCUGCCGAUGGAACCGGGGGUGCCUCCGAUGGCUCGUCAGGCUUCCACGCCUUAGCUGGCUCGAGAGGUUUCUACGCCUCAACUUGCUCGUCGGACUCAGCCGGCCCGUCGGGCUCGCCCAGGUGGGAUGCCGGGUGGCACCCCUAGAGGGGGGUAUACUGUCACACCCGCUCCCGCUCCCCCUCUCUGGCGCUCAAGGGCGCCCGGCGGCCCAUCAUUACGCACACCUGUCACCAUCGUUAUGUGCACCAGCACUUCUUUGGACUGACCUGGACUCCAUUACUUUGUUGAUUGCCCCUCCUAUAUCUGUCUUCCUCGGUUUGAUCCCUGAAUCAGCAUUAUUGUCGUUAUGUUUCCCCUGUCCAGACACUGUCCUUGUUUGUUUCAUGUCGGUUAUUUUAUUAAAUGUUCACUCCCUGUACUUGCUUCUCGUCUCCCAGCGUCUGUCCUUACACCAGCACCAUCUGCAGAGGCACCUGAAGGUCCACACAGGAGUGAGGUUUUUCGCCUGUACACUAAGGAGGAGGAGGGUCCAGAGGUGCUGUUGGUGAAGGAGGAGGGGUGUGAGGACGGUCUGGGGAGCCCUGAGGGGAACAUGGUCAUGGAGGACAACCAAACUACACCUCCUCCUGAACCCACAGAGGAACCAGCUGAGCAGCACAGGACCGCAUACAGUCUCACUGAGGUGAGCCCACUGUGAACUACUGUCUGAAUGGUAUUAUGUCAGGAGUGCUGAUCUAUGAUCAGUUUAGCCUUUUAGACCAUAAUGAUUAAGGCUAUGCAGACA
ensembl:lncRNA